CUGGGCCUCUGGCGCUCUCCUCUGCAACAGAAACUAAAUGGUUUUCCUGGGAACUCUGACUCUGGCCACAAGAUCAAGACUGACAAAUUUCCUUUCUCUGUUUAUGGAGGGAGACUUCACAACAUUCACUGAAAGAGGAGCAAAGGACCUGGUUUUUGCCAUGACUGGCUUUGGCCCCGUGAAUGAAUGUUUUUCUGGCAUUGGAAAGCGGAUAGCAAAGAGAGCAGAACCACAAAUGGGCUAUGAGGAAAUGUGUUCAAUGAAGAAAACAAAAUCUCUGACAAGAUCCAACAUAGGACAACAUCUCAGCAUCUUCUGUGAUUUGUGAACCCAAGUAAAGCACUUCUUAGAGUUAUCUGGCACAUUCGCAACUAAUAGCUUUCUGUGAAUAAAUACUGUGGCAACCACGUUAACUGUACAAAAACAAAUUGCUUAUUUCUUAUAUCCAUGCUGGAAGAUUAUCUGGCUGACCUUAUCAGCUGUGAUGUCAGGAAUGUCAGCCAGUUAUCCUGUGGUGCAUUCAGCUGGGUCAUUG
rnacentral:lncRNA from 1 species